CACCAAAUGCAGGUGUCCAAGCUUUGGAAAGAAUGCUGUAUUUUCACACAGUAUGACAAAUUUUCUUGUUUGCAGGAGUAAGUUAUGUGGCAUGCAUUAAUAGUAGUUAAGAUUUAAUGUAAGUAAGAAACAUUUGGCUUGAAUCCGGGUAGCAGAAAUGUAAAGAUACAGAUAUUUGCCAUAUGGCAGCAGUGACUCGUAUCAACUACGCUUGCUUUUAUUUUUUAUUCCCAAGGAGCAUCGCUCUUGACAAGCAAGCAGUGUAACUGUGGAUAUGCUGUGCUGAUAGGCAGAUACGUGCAUGCAGAACUGCCUGAGCUUACCUAGGAAAAGCAAAAGGGUCCCAAAUGCUGCCUUGGUAAGGCCAAUAGAUCCAUGACAUGCUCUCCUCUUCAAUGGCUGAAGAGAUACACAUACGGUACAUGACAAGCGUAAGCGAUGAUAAGGUUGCACCGAGCCCAGGCUACUUUGCAAAUUUAAGGUAAGAGCUAGUUCCCACUUGCGGGGCUGGUCCGAAGCACCGAGCCCCGGCUUUCCGUGCCCGCGGAAAACUCUCCCGGGGCUGGGGGGCGCGGGGCUGCCCCGGUGACUCCGGCCGACGGCGGGAGCUGUCCCGCCCGGGGCAGGGAGCGGGGGGUGCCCGGCCAAGUGCGGGGCGGGCAGAGCCCGGCCAGAGGCCGCGAUCGCCGAC
rnacentral:lncRNA from 1 species